rnacentral:tRNA from 1 species
AAGAAGAUCAGUUUUGAGAAAUUAGCUGCUAACUAGUAUUCUAAGCGGUUAGACUCCGUUUUCUUCUUU